rnacentral:rRNA from 1 species
AUACGGAGGGUGCAAGCGUUACUCGGAAUCACUGGGCGUAAAGCGCGCGCAGGCGGCCCGAUAAGUUGGAUGUGAAAGCCUACGGCUCAACCGUAGAACUGCAUCCAAAACUGUCAGUCUAGAGUCUGGGAGGGGAAGAUGGAAUUAGUUGUGUAGGGGUAAAGUCCGUAGAGAUAACUAGGAAUACCAAAAGCGAAGGCGAUCUUCUGGAACAGUACUGACGCUGAGGCGCGAAAGCGUGGGGAGCAAACAGGAUUAGAAACCCCAGUAGUCC